CCUACGGGAGGCAGCAGUAAGGAAUAUUGGUCAAUGGACGCAAGUCUGAACCAGCCAUGCCGCGUGAAGGAUUAAGGUCCUCUGGAUUGUAAACUUCUUUUAUCUGGGACGAAAAAAGGCGAUUCUUCGUCACUUGACGGUACCAGAUGAAUAAGCACCGGCUAACUCCGUGCCAGCAGCCGCGGUAAUACGGAGGGUGCAAGCGUUAUCCGGAUUCACUGGGUUUAAAGGGUGCGUAGGCGGGCAGGUAAGUCAGUGGUGAAAUCCUAGAGCUUAACUCUAGAACUGCCAUUGAUACUAUCUGUCUUGAAUAUUGUGGAGGUAAGCGGAAUAUGUCAUGUAGCGGUGAAAUGCUUAGAUAUGACAUAGAACACCUAUUGCGAAGGCAGCUUACUACGCAUAUAUUGACGCUGAGGCACGAAAGCGUGGGGAUCAAACAGGAUUAGAUACCCUGGUAGUCCACGCCCUAAACGAUGAUUACUCGACAUUUGUGAUACACUAUAAGUGUCUGAGCGAAAGCAUUAAGUAAUCCACCUGGGAAGUACGACCCGCAAGGUUGAAACUCAAAUGAAUUGACGGGCGUCCCAAGGGCACACCAGGGGGAUUAGGGG
rnacentral:rRNA from 1 species